UGCAAGUCGAACGGGGCGGCGGCAGGCUGGAGGCGUUUUCGGGAGGCGGGAAGGCCCGGCGCGUGCCCACGUGGCGGACGGGGUGGAGUAACGACGUGGGCGAACCUGCCCUGCGACUGGGGGACAACAGCCCGGAAACGGCUGCUAAUACCGCAUAUGCCCGCAGCCCCGCAUGGGGCGGCGGGGGAAGCUCCGGCGGUGCAGGAUGGGCCCGCGUCUGAUUAGCUGGUUGGCGGGGCAACGGCCCACCAAGGCGACGAUCAGUAGCCGGCCUGAGAGGGUGGGCGGCCACAUUGGGACUGAGACACGGCCCAGACUCCUACGGGAGGCAGCAGUGGGGGAUAUUGCGCAAUGGGGGGAACCCUGAUGCAGCGACGCCGCGUGGGCGAUGGAGUGCUUCGGCAUGUAAAGCCCUAUCAGCAGGGAAGAAAAUGACGGUACCUGACUAAGAAGCCCCGGCUAAAUACGUG
rnacentral:rRNA from 1 species